rnacentral:lncRNA from 1 species
AUGAAUGAGGAGGUGGAUGGUGCUGCUUACCAGAAAGAGAAGAUGAGUCAGGAGCAGCAAGAGACAGGCUUCAGUGUCGUAGUAGAGGAGGAACAUCAAGGCCAGCGGAGAAAGCAGGAAGGGAGAGGGGAGGUGAUGAAAUUUGAAGAAGGUGUGGAAGGAAGAGAAAAAGAUGAGGAACAGGCUGUUCAAGACUUCAUAGGCCACCCAGCAUGGGAGCAGGAGAGCAGAGAGGUGGUCAGGACUGACGCUGCUGCAGCCACAGAAGCACCCGUCUCUCUUCUCUCCCAGAAACACAUGUUCUGGUUCCCCUCUGAGGCCUUCCAGGAGGGGGGACUUCCUGUCUCUACCAAUCCAGUCACACAGAUUACGCAGAGAGCCUCAGGCGCCCAAUCAGAAGAGAGCCAAGAACACGAGAGCCAGGAAAGGAACCAGCAUUUUGUUGAUGGUGACGACCAAGAUCACGAGGCGGUAGAUCACGAAGACAGUCGUCACGAUCAGGAUGAAGACGACCACGACGACCAUGUGAAACAUUACGUUCCAGCUCAGCGUGAUGAUCUGGAUAGACGAGACAGCCAUGAGAGACACGAUGACGAUGACCAUUAUAACGUGGACGAACAUGUAGAUGAUCGCAGCCAGGAGCACGACGAUCGAGAUGAUAUUCGUGGUAAACAGGAAAUCUAUGAGAAUCGUGAAGGUGUGACUGACGACCGUUAUGAUGAUGAUGAUGAUGAUGAACUAGAACAUCUUCAUGGUUCUCAGGAGCAUCCAGACCAUGAUGACAACCACGAUGGUGAGGAACAUUAUGACCUGGAUGCGGAUGACAAUGACCAUUACACCAUUGACAACGACCACGAGCACGAUGACCAUGACAGCUACGAAAAUCACGACAGCCAUGAACGUGAGAGUGAUCGUCAGCAUGUUAUAUUUUCAAUAGCAACAGAUCAACGUCAGAACAUCACCCAGAAAAGAGCAGGAGGAAGAAAGGCCACCACAGACGAGACCUGGCUGGAUGGUUACCCUGUCGUUCCAGAGGAAACAGAAAAAGAUGACUCCUCAACAGAAAGAGUGAGACCAGAGCUUAGAGACAGGGGGACAGCUGCAAAGUCUACAGACAGACCCGGUCAGGUGGAAAUACGUAGACCUGCUACUUACACCAGCUCACCACAAGAGCCUGAGUCUCCUACAGCAGAGCCUGAGGAGAUGUGGGCUGGCUUUAUACCGACGGACAGUGUGGAGCCCUCAGACUCGCCCUCAUACUCCGACACCUUGGACUAUGACACACAACAGGCAGCUCCUACUCACACCUCACUGGGGGACCUCACUGAGCAACCCUUCCUCGGUCACGGUCCAGCUCCUCCGGUGCACAACAGCGACAUCCUCACUGGAGUAAUGGAGGAGCACACUAUGCACAACCUGCCCAGUGAGACCGGAGAGAGGGGUGAAGUGGAGGGGGAGAGGGGGCAGACGAUCUGUACCGAUGAGAAGUGCCCUCCACGUCCUCCAAACUCCUCCAGCCAAGGUCCCAAAGUGGCCGCCAUACUCGUGGCGUUGUUUGCUGUUGCGGCGGCAGUCAUUGUUGGGGUGUGGUGUUACCGACGGCAGCAGCAGAAGAGCUCAUUGUACGAGAUGAACGGGAAGGGCCAAAGCCAGAGCAGGCAGGGCCAACAGAUAGAGAUGCAGCAAAAGGUGUAA